rnacentral:rRNA from 1 species
CGCUAUCACUCCUACGGGAGGCAGCAGUGGGGAAUAUUGCACAAUGGGCGCAAGCCUGAACCAGCCAUGCCGCGUGCAGGAAGAAUGCCCUAUGGGUUGUAAACUGCUUUAUUUGGGAAGAAACCUCUUUACGUGUAGAGAGCUGACGGUACCAAACGAAUAAGCACCGGCUAACUCCGUGCCAGCAGCCGCGGUAAUACGGAGGGUGCAAGCGUUAUCCGGAAUCAUUGGGUUUAAAGGGUCCGCAGGCGGGCUUAUAAGUCAGUGGUGAAAUCUCUCGGCUCAACCGAGAAACUGCCAUUGAUACUGUAGGUCUUGAAUUCGGUCGAAGUGGGCGGAAUGAGUAGUGUAGCGGUGAAAUGCAUAGAUAUUACUCAGAACACCGAUAGCGAAGGCAGCUCACUAGGCCUGGAUUGACGCUGAGGGACGAAAGCGUGGGGAGUGAACAGGAUUAGAUACCCUGGUAG